rnacentral:tRNA from 1 species
GCCGGGGUAGCCUAGCCUGGUAGGGUGCAGGCCUGCUAAGCCUGUGGCGCAUCCGCGCCUCACGGGUUCAAAUCCCGUCCCCGGCG